AGAGUUUGAUCAUGGCUCAGGACGAACGCUGGCGGCGUGCUUAACACAUGCAAGUCGAGCGGAAAGGCCCUUCGGGGUACUCGAGCGGCGAACGGGUGAGUAACACGUGAGCAAUCUGCCCCUAGCUCUGGGAUAGCUCCGGGAAACCGGAAUUAAUACCGGAUAUGACCCUCACCGACAUCGGUAAGGGUGGAAAGUUUUUCGGCUAGGGAUGAGCUCGCGGCCUAUCAGCUAGUUGGUGGGGUAACGGCCCACCAAGGCGACGACGGGUAGCCGGCCUGAGAGGGCGACCGGCCACACUGGGACUGAGACACGGCCCAGACUCCUACGGGAGGCAGCAGUGGGGAAUAUUGCGCAAUGGGCGAAAGCCUGACGCAGCGACGCCGCGUGGGGGAAGAAGGCCUUCGGGUUGUAAACCCCUUUCAGCAGGGACGAAGCGAGAGUGACGGUACCUGCAGAAGAAGCGCCGGCUAACUACGUGCCAGCAGCCGCGGUAACACGUAGGGCGCGAGCGUUGUCCGGAAUUAUUGGGCGUAAAGAGCUCGUAGGCGGUCUGCCACGUCCGCUGUGAAAACCUAGGGCUUAACCCUGGGCUUGCAGUAGAUACGGGCAGACUAGAGGUAGGUAGGGGAGAAUGGAAUUCCCGGUGUAGCGGUGAAAUGCGCAGAUAUCGGGAGGAACACCGGUGGCGAAGGCGGUUCUCUGGGCCUUACCUGACGCUGAGGAGCGAAAGCGUGGGGAGCAAACAGGAUUAGAUACCCCGGUAGUCC
rnacentral:rRNA from 1 species